UCUGGGAGUUGUAGCGUGCCCUCGUGCUUUGUUUAUCAGGAUUCAUCCUUGACUCCCUCACAACACAAUAAGUCAAUACAGAUCUGCACAGCAGUCGGAGCUCCAGACAAAGCUGCAAGGUUUGGUGCAGCAGCCAGAAACGUCCCUGGGGCUGGACCCCAGUGAGGGGCCACCCCACAUUCCCAUGUCCCAGCUGGUACCUGGGGAAAUCAGGAGGUGUUCCCUGCCUGCCCAGUCAAUCCCUCUGCACAGCAAGGACCCAGCAGCAUUUAUUUCUGUAGUGAGACUGGCAGUGCAAACCCUGACAAUGAACUUUCUUCGGUUGGAAGACAAAGGAUAUUCUGGUUGAUUUGUGGUGGAGUUGGUGUCUUCCAUAUUACGCAGGAAGUAUCUGAUGCACCAGAAGUGGUGGUGGAGAGGCUUUGCUGAAAAGCUUUUGAACCUCUGGCCCCAGAAGAUAGCUCUUAUCCAGGAGGAGCUUUGCAACACUGUUUACUUUCAUUCUUCGGAGGCUGAUCAAGCCGUUCCAGCAGGGAAUGUGUUUCGGUGGAGCAUGGGCCAUGCCAGCCUUCCUCCCAGCGUGAAUGCUGCGAUGUCCAAGGGCACUACAGCACCUUCAGCCUGGCUCCAAAGCACGCGGCUCGAUGCUUGGCUGCGGGACAAGCUUCACAGUAUAUAUAACCUGGACAAAGGGGGAGGAAUAGAGGGACGCAAUGGAAAUCUGCGAGCUGAGGAAACGCUUGUGUAAAUGCAAAAGCCUACAAGGGGCAAAUGGCAGCUGCUUUUCCUUUCGCUGGUAUUUUGUAUCUCAAAAGCCGUCCUGCAAAAAUCCAGAUGGGAACCUAACCCGCUCCCUUGCUCUAACGGCAUCGAUCCUGUCCCUCCUAGCACCCCUCAGCAGCACAAGCGUGGUGAUAGGAGCCGCGGUGUUCGGAUGACUUCAGUUCUGACUCAGAAAGGUGUUUACGAACAGAAAUGUCACGGCGAGCCUGAGCCAUAAGGGUUUUACUAUCCCCUGCUUGUUGCUCACUGUGAUGCUCCUUAAAGGAGCCCAGCUUGAAAGAAGAGAAGGAAAUGAGCUCUGGUCAGGCUGGGAGCCCCAGUAACUCCUGGAGCCUCUGGUCGCACACAGAUGCAAGUGUGCAACAGCCCCGUUCAGUCCUGCGGAGCUGCUCGGGUGUGUAAAGUUACACACCAGGGUACUGCGGCCACGGGGUAGGUGAUGCAGCUAUCCUUAUAUUUGCCGCUGUGCAUUUUUCACAUACUUAAGUGUUUGCCCAGUUAUAUCUCUCAUGGAGCUCAGUAGCGGCCAGUUUAAGGACAAAGACAGGAGAAGGAUGGAGUAGGGUUUCUGUGCCAUAGCUGCGUGCUGGCCCCAUGACAGCUCAUGCUCCUCUCUUUAGCUCAGUGUGAGUUACCAGACCUUAAAUAUUCCCUUUUCCUGGAACAAUAGGAGAGCUCCUACAAAUCUGUUAGGUUUGGUUACAGUUGUGCUCCCGCACCAAUUUAUUUUGACGUUGAUCGUACCGCAGAUAACUCCCCCAAAGCGCGAAGCCCUUCGGCCUGCAGCAGCCGGCAGGGCUGUGUCCCCUCGCACCACGCCAGAGCCCCCAAACCAGCUGCAUCCUCUCAGUGACUCUCAGGUUCCCUUUGUGCUGCGAGCGGUGGCACAAUAAAGGGACUGUUCACGAUUCCUCCA
rnacentral:lncRNA from 1 species